rnacentral:lncRNA from 1 species
CUGGAGAAGGGAGAUUAGCCGGGGUAGAGGGUACUCGCCAACCCCCUCCCAAGGCGUCUCCGACCUACAAGCCCUCACUGGCCCCCCGGUACCCCCCCUAAAAUCAGGCACACACAAAACCUCCCUGCCUUCUCCAGUCAGCCGAGCGCAGACUGAGAGCGGCCAGGAACCGAGACAGUUGAAUGAAGUCGGCGCGACUAGCGGAACCGAGGCAAGGUGGCUGCGCCGCUCCACUCUACAGGUCACAGCGGCUCCGGGACCAGAGCACAACCGCAGCCCCUCCCCACCCAUUCCGAGGCCUGCUUCAGACCCCGGGCGGCUCGCUCCGCCCCGCCGCGCCUCACAACAUCUCCCGCUGCAAAUGGCCCAAUCCGGAGACGCGACGAGAGAACACGAGCCAAUCAGGGGCUGCUGACUCAGGCUUCCCUCCACCCUUUGCCCCUCCCCUGAUUUUAAGACACCUCCCCAUCCCGUGCUCCCCGCCCGCUGCCUGCGGUCCUGUUUCUCGAUGAGGAAAAAACCCGACCAAACGAACAAAUAAAAACACAUUCCCUGGAGCCUGAAUACCUGUGCCUUAGUUUUUAAUAUUCCUCAGAGCGGAGGGUGCCAAGCAUUUAGAAUAUACAACUAAAUCCUCAGCCUCAAUUAGAGGAAAGACUGACUGGAUCAUCUUUAAAUGGCCAUGAAAUUUGCAUGUUCGUGACAGCCCCUGACAAAACUAGUCAGCCAAUAACAAAGAACAAAAAAAAAAAAAAAAAAAAGGAAGAAGAAGAAAAUAGAGGGAAUGCCUGCCAGUCAUUUGGUAAUUUACUGAAUAGCCCACUGGGCUAUAGCAGUAUCCAGUUCUAGAUACUGUUGAGCAAAUUAACAAGAAGUGAAUAGAAAUGCAGGGUUCAAGUAGCGUUACCUCUAGUGGGCUUAUAGAAUAUGUCCAGAAAGAAAAAACAAUUUCAAGCACAAAACAGCUCCUUACAAAUGCAAAUAUGCAUGCAUGGCUAAAAGCAGUACUUCAUAGCUGAGGACGUCUAGGGUUAAGAUUUUUGCAAUGGAAAUUUUUAUAAAUGUUGAUUUUGAAGAUUUUUCGGUUUGGUAAAGGAGAGUAAAUAUUGGCCAUGGAAGGAGACAUGAAAGGGGGUAAACACAUUUUAGAAAUUGUAGGAAAAUAACAUAGCCUAGAGAGACAUGUCUAUAAAAGGUAAAUGGAAGCAUCAAGAUUACAGUCUAGCUGCAUCAUUUACCUUGUGACUUAAGGCAAAUUAUUACUUCCAUGUAUAAGUAUUAGAGCUAUCAAGUAAUAAUACUGACUGCCAUCUAUAUGGGACCGCCUCUGUGCUAGGUAUUCCUCCAACAGCUUUACACACAACUUAAUGAGGUAACUAUGUGACAGAGCCAGGAUUAAGCCCAGAGGGUCAGCUCCAUGCUUUUCUCCAC